UACGGAGGGUGCAAGCGUUGUUCGGAAUUACUGGGCGUAAAGCGCGUGUAGGCGGCCGAUUAAGUCUGGUGUGAAAGCCCGGGGCUCACCCCCGGAAGUGCGCUGGAAACUGGUCGGCUAGAGUAUGGGAGAGGAAAGUGGAAUUCCCGGUGUAGCGGUGAAAUGCGUAGAUAUCAGGAGGAACACCGAUGGCGAAGGCAGGUCUCUGGGCAUUAACUGACGCUGAGGAGCGAAAGCAUGGGGAGCGAACAGG
rnacentral:rRNA from 1 species